rnacentral:rRNA from 1 species
AGCCCAGAGCCUGAAUCAGUGUGUGUGUUAGUGGAAGCGUCUGGAAAGGCGCGCGAUACAGGGUGACAGCCCCGUACACAAAAAUGCACAUGCUGUGAGCUCGAUGAGUAGGGCGGGACACGUGGUAUCCUGUCUGAAUAUGGGGGGACCAUCCUCCAAGGCUAAAUACUCCUGACUGACCGAUAGUGAACCAGUACCGUGAGGGAAAGGCGAAAAGAACCCCGGCGAGGGGAGUGAAAAAGAACCUGAAACCGUGUACGUACAAGCAGUGGGAGCACGCUUAGGCGUGUGACUGCGUACCUUUUGUAUAAUGGGUCAGCGACUUAUAUUCUGUAGCAAGGUUAACCGAAUAGGGGAGCCGAAGGGAAACCGAGUCUUAACUGGGCGUUAAGUUGCAGGGUAUAGACCCGAAACCCGGUGAUCUAGCCAUGGGCAGGUUGAAGGUUGGGUAACACUAACUGGAGGACCGAACCGACUAAUGUUGAAAAAUUAGCGGAUGACUUGUGGCUGGGGGUGAAAGGCCAAUCAAACCGGGAGAUAGCUGGUUCUCCCCGAAAGCUAUUUAGGUAGCGCCUCGUGAAUUCAUCUCCGGGGGUAGAGCACUGUUUCGGCAAGGGGGUCAUCCCGACUUACCAACCCGAUGCAAACUGCGAAUACCGGAGAAUGUUAUCACGGGAGACACACGGCGGGUGCUAACGUCCGUCGUGAAGAGGGAAACAACCCAGACCGCCAGCUAAGGUCCCAAAGUCAUGGUUAAGUGGGAAACGAUGUGGGAAGGCCCAGACAGCCAGGAUGUUGGCUUAGAAGCAGCCAUCAUUUAAAGAAAGCGUAAUAGCUCACUGGUCGAGUCGGCCUGCGCGGAAGAUGUAACGGGGCUAAACCAUGCACCGAAGCUGCGGCAGCGACGCUGAUGCGUUGUUGGGUAGGGGAGCGUUCUGUAAGCCUGUGAAGGUGUACUGUGAGGUAUGCUGGAGGUAUCAGAAGUGCGAAUGCUGACAUAAGUAACGAUAAAGCGGGUGAAAAGCCCGCUCGCCGGAAGACCAAGGGUUCCUGUCCAACGUUAAUCGGGGCAGGGUGAGUCGACCCCUAAGGCGAGGCCGAAAGGCGUAGUCGAUGGGAAACAGGUUAAUAUUCCUGUACUUGGUGUUACUGCGAAGGGGGGACGGAGAAGGCUAUGUUGGCCGGGCGACGGUUGUCCCGGUUUAAGCGUGUAGGCUGGUUUUCCAGGCAAAUCCGGAAAACUAAGGCUGAGGCGUGAUGACGAGGCACUACGGUGCUGAAGCAACAAAUGCCCUGCUUCCAGGAAAAGCCUCUAAGCAUCAGGUAACAUCAAAUCGUACCCCAAACCGACACAGGUGGUCAGGUAGAGAAUACCAAGGCGCUUGAGAGAACUCGGGUGAAGGAACUAGGCAAAAUGGUGCCGUAACUUCGGGAGAAGGCACGCUGAUAUGUAGGUGAAGUCCCUCGCGGAUGGAGCUGAAAUCAGUCGAAGAUACCAGCUGGCUGCAACUGUUUAUUAAAAACACAGCACUGUGCAAACACGAAAGUGGACGUAUACGGUGUGACGCCUGCCCGGUGCCGGAAGGUUAAUUGAUGGGGUCAGCGCAAGCGAAGCUCUUGAUCGAAGCCCCGGUAAACGGCGGCCGUAACUAUAACGGUCCUAAGGUAGCGAAAUUCCUUGUCGGGUAAGUUCCGACCUGCACGAAUGGCGUAAUGAUGGCCAGGCUGUCUCCACCCGAGACUCAGUGAAAUUGAACUCGCUGUGAAGAUGCAGUGUACCCGCGGCAAGACGGAAAGACCCCGUGAACCUUUACUAUAGCUUGACACUGAACAUUGAGCCUUGAUGUGUAGGAUAGGUGGGAGGCUUUGAAGUGUGGACGCCAGUCUGCAUGGAGCCGACCUUGAAAUACCACCCUUUAAUGUUUGAUGUUCUAACGUUGACCCGUAAUCCGGGUUGCGGACAGUGUCUGGUGGGUAGUUUGACUGGGGCGGUCUCCUCCUAAAGAGUAACGGAGGAGCACGAAGGUUGGCUAAUCCUGGUCGGACAUCAGGAGGUUAGUGCAAUGGCAUAAGCCAGCUUGACUGCGAGCGUGACGGCGCGAGCAGGUGCGAAAGCAGGUCAUAGUGAUCCGGUGGUUCUGAAUGGAAGGGCCAUCGCUCAACGGAUAAAAGGUACUCCGGGGAUAACAGGCUGAUACCGCCCAAGAGUUCAUAUCGACGGCGGUGUUUGGCACCUCGAUGUCGGCUCAUCACAUCCUGGGGCUGAAGUAGGUCCCAAGGGUAUGGCUGUUCGCCAUUUAAAGUGGUACGCGAGCUGGGUUUAGAACGUCGUGAGACAGUUCGGUCCCUAUCUGCCGUGGGCGCUGGAGAAUUGAGGGGGGCUGCUCCUAGUACGAGAGGACCGGAGUGGACGCAUCACUGGUGUUCGGGUUGUCAUGCCAAUGGCACUGCCCGGUAGCUAAAUGCGGAAGAGAUAAGUGCUGAAAGCAUCUAAGCACGAAACUUGCCCCGAGAUGAGUUCUCCCUGACUCCUUGAGAGUCCUGAAGGAACGUUGAAGACGACGACGUUGAUAGGCCGGGUGUGUAAGCGCAGCGAUGCGUUGAGCUAACCGGUACUAAUGAACCGUGAGGCUUAACCUUACAACGCCGAAGCUGUU